GAUGAACGCUGGCUACAGGCUUAACACAUGCAAGUCGAGGGGAAACGACGGGGAAGCUUGCUUCCCCGGGCGUCGACCGGCGCACGGGUGAGUAACGCGUAUCCAACCUGCCUCUGACUGAGGGAUAACCCGUCGAAAGUCGGCCUAAUACCUCAUGGCAUCGUCUGCGGGCAUCCAACGACGAUUAAAGAUUUCAUCGGUCAGGGAUGGGGAUGCGUCUGAUUAGCUUGUUGGCGGGGUAACGGCCCACCAAGGCUACGAUCAGUAGGGGUUCUGAGAGGAAGGUCCCCCACAUUGGAACUGAGACACGGUCCAAACUCCUACGGGAGGCAGCAGUGAGGAAUAUUGGUCAAUGGGCGAGAGCCUGAACCAGCCAAGUAGCGUGCAGGAUGACGGCCCUAUGGGUUGUAAACUGCUUUUAUGCGGGGAUAAAGUGAGGGACGUGUCCUUCAUUGCAGGUACCGCAUGAAUAAGGACCGGCUAAUUCCGUGCCAGCAGCCGCGGUAAUACGGAAGGUCCGGGCGUUAUCCGGAUUUAUUGGGUUUAAAGGGAGCGUAGGCCGUGGAUUAAGCGUGUUGUGAAAUGCAGGUGCCCAACGUCUGCACUGCAGCGCGAACUGGUCCACUUGAGUGUGCACAACGCAGGCGGAAUUCGUCGUGUAGCGGUGAAACGCUAGAUAUGACGAAGAACUCCGAUUGCGAAGGCAGCUUGCGGGAGCACAACUGACGCUGAAGCUCGAAAGUGCGGGUAUCGAACAGG
rnacentral:rRNA from 1 species